rnacentral:misc_RNA from 1 species
UCUCCGUUGGUGAACCAGCGGAGUGAUCAUUACAGAGUUUUCUAAACUACCAAACCCAUGUGAACUUACCAUUGCUGCCUCGGCGGAGCCUACCCUGUAGCUACCCUAUAAGGUGGCUACCCUGUAGCGCCCCGCCGGUGGAUUUCAAACUCUUGUUAUUUUUUGUAAUCUGAGAGUCUUAUUUUAAAUAAGUCAAAACUUUCAACAACGGAUCUCUUGGUUAUGGCAUCGAUGAAGAACGCAGC